UCGGGGCUUCCUAGCCCUAAUUCCCGGAUUGUUAUUUUGUUUAUCCUGUCGCUGCCAUUUCUCCCUGGUUCUCUAUUUGCUGGUGUGGAAGAUCUUCUACAUGUCUUGGGAAACCACGUGAGUUUAUCGGAGCUAAUCCCACCUCUGCUCUGCUCGUGCCCCCCUGUAUGAUUGUGCCUAGUGAUCCAUAUCAUUCUAUGGCCAUAUAAUAGUGGGUAGGGAUCACUAUCUUGUCUUGUGUCGCUUGUGUGUGGAUGUGUGACUGCACACCUCACCUGAUAUGUUGUUGCGAGCUGGCAGGGUCACCACUGGCUUGGUGCCCUAGUGCGGCAGAGGGCUAGGGCAUGGGGAUUCUGAUCGUAUCCAUGGGAGAUAGCAGUUUCCGAUUUCAAUUGGUACACAAUUACGCGAACAUCUUUGUGUUUUGUUCGUUUGCCAUAACCUUUAUCUUACUAGUAGCAAUAAUCUCGCUAUAACGAAAGCUGUAGAGCUCUUCAAUAUCUUUCGAAUUAAUAUCUACAUAACUUUUUCGUUCUGUAAAUCUUGAGUUAUGAAAUUUCGAAUUCAACAGCAGUUUCUGUCACAGUUCGGUUUAACAGAAAUUUCAAUUGAGCAGCUGCAAUGUGGAGCUCUUUUGAGUGUUUUAGAAUCCGAUUCAGGGGAACCCAUAACUGAAAAGGAUGUAGAGGAUUUCAUGAGCUUUACAAUGAGUAUCUAUUUACAGAUUUUCAUUGAAAUUUGUGGAAGUUAUGGGAUUCUGAAUUUGGGUGUCUCAUCCUGUCAAAAAAUUAGUUUCAGCCUGUAUUGCAGCAUCACUUCGAGUUUUGCGACACAAUUUAAAAUUUCUUAGAGGCAGACUCGAUCCUGACUCUUAUGGAGUGUUGUGUAGUGGGAUUUUUGGCCUUUCCAAGGAUGGCUUAAGCCCCAUGUUUGGAUAAGUGGUCUGGAAGACUUUCUAUUACAACAUAGUUGUUAGUAAUAGCAGGAUGGACCUAUCAUCUUUUUCUGAAGAAUAAGCAAGAUAGAUGUGUGAAUUUUGGUUCUGGUUUGAAUACAAAAGUUGUAUACGUAGUUCUUAUCUUUCAAGCAGUUUUGAUUUCACUCGAUUCCGAUGAUUGGUUAGGGAGAUAUCAUCAAAUUAGUGUUGUUGUGCUAGGUUGUCAGCUUAACUAUACAACAACUUUGUUAUUCAUGUUUGAUCUGGUGUCAAUUGGUCCAGAUUUAGACCAUGCUCAACGGUUGUAGAUAAUUUCAUGACCUUUCUACUGAGUGUUCACUUGCAGUUUUUUCGUUGAAUACACAGAAUGUUAUCAGGUUCUGAAGUUGGAUGACCGGUUCAGCUCGGACUAGUUUUGAGUUUCAGUUUUCUACAGUAGUAGGUCGAGGUUGUUGAUGGCUUUUGAAGCAAAAAUCUGGAAACAACGUACUUGAAGGAUUUGAAUAACUUUUCAUUAUAUUUCCAGCGAAUAUUUAAACAUUCUAUUUCGUGAAUGUAUAGCUCAAGUUAUGCUCAUCUAAAUUUUGCUGUCAGAUUCGUUAGAUUAAAAUUUUACAAUGACAAGUUAUAAUUUUGUGGCCUAUUUUUACAUGUCUUAGGGACCUAAUCUUUUCUAGUCACCAUGGAGUCUCUUGUAGUACAUAUAUAUGAGCUUUCUAUAGGGUGCUUUAUACUCCGAUUUCGGUCGCGUCAUUUGGGAGCUAUGGAAUUUCAAAGUCAGCUGUGCUGCUGUCCAAACCAGAAUGGUUUAGCUAUCUUGAUA
rnacentral:lncRNA from 1 species